GGUUAAGCGACUAAGCGUACACGGUGGAUGCCCUGGCAGUCAGAGGCGAUGAAGGACGUGCUAAUCUGCGAAAAGCGUCGGUAAGGUGAUAUGAACCGUUAUAACCGGCGAUGUCCGAAUGGGGAAACCCAGUGUGAUUCGUCACACUAUCGUUAACUGAAUACAUAGGUUAACGAGGCGAACCGGGGGAACUGAAACAUCUAAGUACCCCGAGGAAAAGAAAUCAACCGAGAUUCCCCCAGUAGCGGCGAGCGAACGGGGAGCAGCCCAGAGUCUGAAUCAGCUUGUGUGUUAGUGGAACGGUCUGGAAAGUCCGACGGUACAGGGUGAUAGUCCCGUACACCAAAAUGCACAGGCUGUGAACUCGAAGAGUAGGGCGGGACACGUGGUAUCCUGUCUGAAUAUGGGGGGACCAUCCUCCAAGGCUAAAUACUCCUGACUGACCGAUAGUGAACCAGUACCGUGAGGGAAAGGCGAAAAGAACCCCGGCGAGGGGAGUGAAAAAGAACCUGAAACCGUGUACGUACAAGCAGUGGGAGCACCUUCGGGUGUGACUGCGUACCUUUUGUAUAAUGGGUCAGCGACUUAUAUUCUGUAGCAAGGUUAACCGUAUAGGGGAGCCGCAGGGAAACCGAGUCUUAACUGGGCGUUAAGUUGCAGGGUAUAGACCCGAAACCCGGUGAUCUAGCCAUGGGCAGGUUGAAGGUUGGGUAACACUAACUGGAGGACCGAACCGACUAAUGUUGAAAAAUUAGCGGAUGACUUGUGGCUGGGGGUGAAAGGCCAAUCAAACCGGGAGAUAGCUGGUUCUCCCCGAAAGCUAUUUAGGUAGCGCCUCGUGAACUCAUCUUCGGGGGUAGAGCACUGUUUCGGCUAGGGGGUCAUCCCGACUUACCAACCCGAUGCAAACUACGAAUACCGAAGAAUGUUAUCACGGGAGACACACGGCGGGUGCUAACGUCCGUCGUGAAGAGGGAAACAACCCAGACCGCCAGCUAAGGUCCCAAAGUCAUGGUUAAGUGGGAAACGAUGUGGGAAGGCACAGACAGCCAGGAUGUUGGCUUAGAAGCAGCCAUCAUUUAAAGAAAGCGUAAUAGCUCACUGGUCGAGUCGGCCUGCGCGGAAGAUGUAACGGGGCUAAACCAUGCACCGAAGCUGCGGCAGCGACACUAUGUGUUGUUGGGUAGGGGAGCGUUCUGUAAGCCUGCGAAGGUGUGCUGUGAGGCAUGCUGGAGGUAUCAGAAGUGCGAAUGCUGACAUAAGUAACGAUAAAGCGGGUGAAAAGCCCGCUCGCCGGAAGACCAAGGGUUCCUGUCCAACGUUAAUCGGGGCAGGGUGAGUCGACCCCUAAGGCGAGGCCGAAAGGCGUAGUCGAUGGGAAACAGGUUAAUAUUCCUGUACUUGGUGUUACUGCGAAGGGGGGACGGAGAAGGCUAUGUUAGCCGGGCGACGGUUGUCCCGGUUUAAGCAUGUAGGCUGAUUAUCCAGGCAAAUCCGGAUAAUCAAGGCUGAGGUGUGAUGACGAGGCACUACGGUGCUGAAGUAACAAAUGCCCUGCUUCCAGGAAAAGCCUCUAAGCAUCAGGUAACAUUAAAUCGUACCCCAAACCGACACAGGUGGUCAGGUAGAGAAUACCAAGGCGCUUGAGAGAACUCGGGUGAAGGAACUAGGCAAAAUGGUGCCGUAACUUCGGGAGAAGGCACGCUGGUGUGUAGGUGAAGUCCCUGCGGAUGGAGCUGAGACCAGUCGAAGAUACCAGCUGGCUGCAACUGUUUAUUAAAAACACAGCACUGUGCAAACACGAAAGUGGACGUAUACGGUGUGACGCCUGCCCGGUGCCGGAAGGUUAAUUGAUGGGGUUAUCCGUAAGGAGAAGCUCUUGAUCGAAGCCCCGGUAAACGGCGGCCGUAACUAUAACGGUCCUAAGGUAGCGAAAUUCCUUGUCGGGUAAGUUCCGACCUGCACGAAUGGCGUAAUGAUGGCCAGGCUGUCUCCACCCGAGACUCAGUGAAAUUGAACUCGCUGUGAAGAUGCAGUGUACCCGCGGCAAGACGGAAAGACCCCGUGAACCUUUACUAUAGCUUGACACUGAACAUUGAGCCUUGAUGUGUAGGAUAGGUGGGAGGCUUUGAAGCGUGGACGCCAGUCUGCGUGGAGCCAACCUUGAAAUACCACCCUUUAAUGUUUGAUGUUCUAACGUUGGCCCCUGACCGGGGUUGCGGACAGUGUCUGGUGGGUAGUUUGACUGGGGCGGUCUCCUCCCAAAGCGUAACGGAGGAGCACGAAGGUUAGCUAAUCCUGGUCGGACAUCAGGAGGUUAGUGCAAUGGCAUAAGCUAGCUUGACUGCGAGCGUGACGGCGCGAGCAGGUGCGAAAGCAGGUCAUAGUGAUCCGGUGGUUCUGAAUGGAAGGGCCAUCGCUCAACGGAUAAAAGGUACUCCGGGGAUAACAGGCUGAUACCGCCCAAGAGUUCAUAUCGACGGCGGUGUUUGGCACCUCGAUGUCGGCUCAUCACAUCCUGGGGCUGAAGUAGGUCCCAAGGGUAUGGCUGUUCGCCAUUUAAAGUGGUACGCGAGCUGGGUUUAGAACGUCGUGAGACAGUUCGGUCCCUAUCUGCCGUGGGCGCUGGAGAAUUGAGGGGGGCUGCUCCUAGUACGAGAGGACCGGAGUGGACGCAUCACUGGUGUUCGGGUUGUCAUGCCAAUGGCACUGCCCGGUAGCUAAAUGCGGAAGAGAUAAGUGCUGAAAGCAUCUAAGCACGAAACUUGCCCCGAGAUGAGUUCUCCCUGAGACUUUAAGUCUCCUGAAGGAACGUUGAAGACGACGACGUUGAUAGGCCGGGUGUGUAAGCGCAGCGAUGCGUUGAGCUAACCGGUACUAAUGAACCGUGAGGCUUAACCUU
rnacentral:rRNA from 1 species